UACGGGGGGGGGCAAGCGUUGUUCGGAAUUACUGGGCGUAAAGGGCGCGUAGGCGGCUCAAUCAGUCGGGCGUGAAAGCUCUGGGCUUAACCCAGAAAGGUCGUUCGAUACUGUUGGGCUAGAGUGUGGAAGAGGCUACUGGAAUUCCGUGUGUAGCGGUGAAAUGCGCAGAUAUCAAGGAGGAACACCAAUGGCGAAGGCAGCUCGCUGGAACGGUACUGACGCUGAGGCGCGAAAGCGUGGGGAGCGAACAGG
rnacentral:rRNA from 1 species